GCACCCGUUCAAGCACACACCUCCUUAUCGUGCUCCAACUCUAGGCUCCCACCUCCCGUACACCUCCUCACUGAUGCCAAAGACUUCACCAUUAUAUCACAUCCAUACCAAUGGUUAUGAUACAAAGGUUAUGAUACAAAGAUUAAUCAAUAACAGACUUUAAAAGGCCAUCCAAUAUAAAUUGGGUAAUAGUAGAUCUUCAAAAAGAAUAUCUUUUGUAGGCUAAAUUAAAGAUUUUGGAAGGAUGUUAAAUUUUGAUCG
rnacentral:lncRNA from 1 species